AACAAUCCUUUUACCUCAUAAGUGCAAUCAGAACACACCCAAGCUGUUUUUGUCUUCCCUUUCUUCUUAUUAUUCCCAUUCCCUAUUACUUCAUAAACCCUUCACCCCAAAGCUGCAAUCACUCACACUAUCAAAUUUACCAGAAAAAGUACAACAUCGGGGAAUUACCAGAAUGAUAAUCGAGAAAGUACAAUUAGGAAGGGGGGAUGCAUUUGCAUCAGAUUCACCAACUUACAAACCCCCAUUCAACAUCGGCGGCGAAGUGGAGUUCACCAAAGAAUAAACUAGUUAUAGCAGAGCUCGUUACAAAAUUGUCAUUGUUAAGCCAUUAAAGCCAAUUGCUCCCACUCAUUACCCUUAAAACGAGAGCAAGAAAAGGGGGUUUUGGGUUGUGUACAAGCAUUUAUUAGCUAACAAUGGUCAAUCAGUACCCAAAAGAGAGUUUGUUAGGAAGACGUAUUUAAUUAGAAGUGUUUGAAGUAAUUUGUAGUUGAUUUAGACGGAACAUUUUCAGGGGUUUUCUAUAACUGUUGGAGUUUUAUCAAUGUGAGUUUCCAUAGUAGAAGUACCGUAUAUUUUGAAGAAUUAAUAAGGGGAUUUUGUCAUAUGAUCUUAAUGCUACAAGCUGCAUUUGGUUUAGUCUAUGCAUUGGCUAUACUAUCAGUACAUUCCAGAAGGGAAGGAGUUUCCAAUAUUAUGUAAGAAAUUGGAUGCUGAAAGCAAAGGUUGGAUGAAGACUGUAUCGAGUUAUAUGAUUAGCGUUUCUAAGGAGGAACAAGUUCUACUUGACUGGAAUGGAAUUGCGGAAAGACAUGGAUAUGUGCAUACGGGUACAUGUCUAUUGUCGAGUGUCUCCAAACCAUAAUUAUCUUGUUUACACAAUUGAUGUUACUGGUAGUAAGCAGGUUGUGCUUCAGAUUAAGGACCUCCGAAAUGACUGUGUUUUGCCAGCCCUUAGAGUUGAAGGGGUUUUUAGUGUGGAAUGGGCUAAAGAUUCUUGUACUUUCUUCUAUACAUUAUCUGACCAGAACCAAUAGCCUUACAGGUUUAUGUCAUCAAUGCAACCAAUUUGCAGACUGGAAUUCAAAGAUUUUGUAAGCAUGUGU